UGGCUCUUCAAGUCACCUGGCUUAUUCCCUCCUGAAAAUGCAUUCUCUCUUUCCCUGUUUGGGUGAACGGCUGCUGGCAGGGCCACGGAAGGGAGGGGCCAGAGAUGAAGAAAGGCUUUGCAGUCAGAGCCGAGUUAGGGUUAUGGUCCACUGUAAGAUCUUGGAAAAGAUAUUCUCUGUUUUUUUGAGACAGAGUCUCGCUCUGUCGCCCAGGCUGGAGUGCAGAGGCGUGAUCUCUGCUCACUGCAGUCUCCGCCUCCGGGUUUCAAGCGAUUCUCCUGCCUCAGCCUCCCGAGUAGCUGGGACUGCAGGUGCCCACCACCACACCCGGCUAAUUUUUGUAUUUUUGGUAGAGACAGGGUUUUACUAUAUGUUGGCCAGGCUGGUCUCAAACUCCUGGCCUCUAGUGAUCCACCUGUCUCGGCCUCCCAAGGCGCUGGGGUUACAGGUGUGAGCCACCACACAUCUGGCUGGAAAAGUUACCCUCUAAGCCUUAGUUUCCUUAUUUUGAGGAACGGUCAUCAUGAUGUGUACAUUUUAGGCUUAUGAGUGUUUCCCUGAGAUAAAAUGAGCACCGGUUGGUGUGAGAAGCAGCGAUGAUCUUUCUUUUUUCUGAAUGGCUGUUUCUCUUGUCUCUUCCCCCAAGAUCUGCCUUUCCUGCCCUUUCGACUAAUAAGGGAAGAACUUCUCAAACAAUUCGGCUAUGUAACCUGGAGAUGGGACUUUAUGCAUCAUAGUGACAACUGGCUUCUGCUUCCCUGGGUGUGGUAGUUAGUGGAGAAGGGGAGGGUGCCCUGAGGGAGGGAGGACUCUGCAGAGGAAUGGGCAGCCAAGAGUUGGUUCACCUGUACAAGAAAUCUCCUUGGUGAUCCUGAAUCCAUUCAUGAGUCCAGGAUGUCUCGGUGGUGGAACAACAUCAGGCCUCUGAAAUAGGGAAAGAUCAGCUUCUGAGGCCGGGAGUGGUA
rnacentral:lncRNA from 10 species